GACGAACGCUGGCGGCGUGCUUAACACAUGCAAGUCGAACGGAAAGGCCCUGCUUUUGUGGGGUGCUCGAGUGGCGAACGGGUGAGUAACACGUGAGUAACCUGCCCUUGACUUUGGGAUAACUUCAGGAAACUGGGGCUAAUACCGGAUAGGAGCUCCUGCUGCAUGGUGGGGGUUGGAAAGUUUCGGCGGUUGGGGAUGGACUCGCGGCUCAUCAGCUUGUUGGUGGGGUAGUGGCUUACCAAGGCUUUGACGGGUAGCAGGCCUGAGAGGGUGACCGGCUCCAUUGGGACUGAGAUACGGCCCAGACUCCUACGGGAGGCAGCAGUGGGGAAUAUUGCACAAUGGGCGGAAGCCUGAUGCAGCAACGCCGCGUGCGGUAUGACGGCCUUCGGGUUGUAAACCGCUUUCGCCUGUGACGAAGCGUGAGUGACGGUAAUGGGUAAAGAAGCACCGGCUAACUACGUG
rnacentral:rRNA from 1 species